rnacentral:lncRNA from 1 species
AUGUGUUCUGGGUCUGCAGCCACUGAUCUAUAUAUGUGUGUAUAUUAUAGAUCAGUGGUCCAAACGCAGCUCCGCAGUGACUCGUGUUUCCAGUACGGCGGAAACUGCGCUACACAGGAAAUGCCACGUGUACCAAGUGCGCAUGCGCGCUCUCCGUGCUCCGCUCGACUUCCGCUGAGAGGAAACCGCUGUUUAUCACCGCGACGCUCGGCAGCGCGAGACAGAGAUGACCGCCGCUCGCUAACCGACCCGACUUCACGAUGUCCAGCGGCGGCUUCGCGUCACAGAACGGCGCCGGAGGCUCGUACGCGAACGAGACUGAAAGAGCAGGAAUCCCUCAGACUGAGUGCAGUGUAGAGAGUAACACUGACCCCUCCUCCUCCUCCUGUUACUGUGAGUGAGCGGUCAGUCACGUGUGUGUAGGAUGACCCGGGUACACUUCACAUUCAGUGUUCCUUUCCAUCUCACGCGCAACCGCGUCUGCACAGCUUUCAAAAGUAUACUCAACCGCAGAUGAGCACGGACGGAUGAACUCGACACACACGCAGUACCACGGGGUGCACGGCUGUCCACGAGCCCUCUUGAUGAUGAAAAUAACGUAAUGCCGACAGUGUGCAGACGGCCAAAGUAUUUUUUGCCUUAUUGCAACUCUCUGUUCUGGACCUGCACAAACUGCGCUGCAAUGCAAUCAUUUUCCAAAAUGUAAUUUAUGUGAAAAUAUGAAGUCUGUUAACACCCGUUAACACAGACCAGAGACGCUGAAGACGGACACACAGAGAAAAUACUGCAGCAGGCAGAUCACUCACUGUUCAUGAUGCACAAACUACUGGAAGAAAAUCCUCAAUAUUGAUUUGGGGUUUAUAUGAAUGUGUUUCUGAGGGAAGCUGACUGUAUUCUGGAAAGUUUGUGUGGUAUAAUUUCACAAAGCUUGUCAGAACAUUCUGUUUUUGCUUCAAAUUGGGUUAUUAUUAAAUCAGAUUAUGUGUAUGAUUAUUAUUAUAUAACUAAAUGAUAUGAAAUGAUAUGUAUAUGAAUUAUAUAACUAAAAUUAAAUAACUGUAAUUACAGAUUUAGGUUAAAUAAAGAUGUCAGUCUUAAUUUUUUCUUGCUUCAAAUUGGGUUAUUAUUAAAUCAGAUUAUGUGUAUGAUUAUUAUUAUAUAACUAAAUGAUAUGAAAUGAUAUGUAUAUGAAUUAUAUAACUAAAAUUAAAUAACUGUAAUUACAGAUUUAGGUUAAAUAAAGAUGUCAGUCUUAAUUUUUUUCUUUUUAGGAAACAAAUCAAAGAAAAAAUUAAACUAAUUAUAAUAAAUAAACUAAGAUAAUAAAUGAUAUUUGCUUGAAUUCUGACUCAAAAUAUCAGUGCUGGUAUUACUAGAUCUCAGUGCUACGUUUGACACUGUCGAUCAUUACAUACUACUAGAGAGACUGGAAAACUGGAUCGGGCUUUCUGGGAUGGUACUCAAAUGGUUCAGGUCAUACUAAGAAGGGAGAGGUUAUUAUGUGAGUCUAGGAGAGCAUAAGUGUAAGUGGACGUCCAUGACAUGCGGAGUCCCACAAGGCUCAAUUCUUGCACCGCUCUUGUUUAGCCUGUAUAUGCUCCCACUAAGUCAGAUAAUGAGAAAGAACCAAAUUGCCUAUCACAGCUAUGCUGAUGAUACCCAGAUUUACCUAGCCUUAUCGCCAAAUGACUACAGCCCCAUUGACUUCCUCUGUAUUGAUGAAAUUAAUAGUUGGAUGUGCCAGAACUUUCUUCAGUUAAACAAGGAAAAAACUGAAGUUAUUGCAUUUGGAAACAAAGAUGAAGUUUUCAAGGUGAAUGCAUACCUUGACUCAAGGGUCUUGGUGUGAUUCUGGAGACAGACCUUAGUUUCAAGUAGUCAUGUCAAAGCAGUAACUAAAUCAGCAUUCUAUCAUCUAAAAAACAUUGCUAAGAAUUAGAUGUUUUGUUUCCAGUCAAGACUUAGAGAAACUUGUUCAUGCCUUUAUCACCAGCAGGGUGGACUACUGUAAUGGUCUCCUCACCGUCCUUCCCAAAAAGACCAUUAGACAGCUGCAGCUCAUCCAGAACGCUGCUGCCAGGAUUCUGACUAGAACCAGAAAAUCUGAGCAUAUCACACCAGUCCUCAGGUCCUUACACUGGCUUCCAGUUACAUUUAGGAUUGAUUUUAAAGUACUUUUACUCGUUUAUAAAUCACUCAAUGACCUAGGACUAAAAUAUAUUGCAGAUAUGUUCACUGAAUAUAAACCUAACAGACCACUCAGAUCAUUAGGAUCGAGUCAGUUAGAAAUACCAAGGGUUCACACAAAACAGGGGAGUCCGCUUUUAGUACUAUGCCGCCGCAGCUGGAAUGACUCAAAACUCAUCUGUUUAGCUGUGCAUUUGUUGAAUGAGCAAUGUGCGAUGUCCGAAUUGAUUGCACUGUAUUUUACAUAUUCACUAUAUUCUAUGUAAAAUCAUUUUCUAUUUUUAACUGUUUUAAAUUCAUUUUAAAUACGUCAAUUUUUA